ACUCCUACGGGGGGCAGCAGUGGGGAAUCUUAGACAAUGGGGGCAACCCUGAUCUAGCCAUGCCGCGUGAGUGAUGAAGGCCUUAGGGUCGUAAAGCUCUUUCGCCUGUGAUGAUAAUGACAGUAGCAGGUAAAAGAAACCCCGGCUAAACUCCGUGCCAGCAGCCGCGGUAAUACGGAGGGGUUAGCGUUGUUCGGAAUUACUGGGCGUAAAAGCGCGCGUAGGCGGACUGGAAAGUUGGGGGUGAAAAUCCCAGGGCUCAACCCUGGAACGGCCUCCAAAAACUCCCAGUCUGGAGUUCGAGAGAGGUGAGUGGAAUUCCGAGUGUAGAGGUGAAAAUUCGUAGAUAAUUCGGAGGAACACCAGUGGCGAAGGCGGCUCACUGGCUCGAUACUGACGCUGAGGUGCGAAAGUGUGGGGGAGCAAAACAGGAUUAGAUACCCUGGUAGGCUCUGC
rnacentral:rRNA from 1 species